rnacentral:rRNA from 1 species
UGAGGAAUAUUGCACAAUGGUCGGAAGACUGAUCCAGCCAUGCCGCGUGCAGGAUGAAGGUCCUAUGGAUUGUAAACUGCUUUUGUAAGGGAAGGAAUAAGGAGUACGUGUACUUUGAUGACGGUACCUUACGAAUAAGCAUCGGCUAACUCCGUGCCAGCAGCCGCGGUAAU